GAUGAAGAACGCAGCGAAAUGCGAUAAGUAAUGUGAAUUGCAGAAUUCAGUGAAUCAUCGAAUCUUUGAACGCACAUUGCGCCCGCCAGUAUUCUGGCGGGCAUGCCUGUUCGAGCGUCAUUACAACCCUCAGGCCCCCGGGCCUGGCGUUGGGGAUCGGCAGAAGCCCCCUGUGGGCACACGCCGUCCCUCAAAUACAGUGGCGGUCCCGCCGCAGCUUCCAUUGCGUAGUAGCUAACACCUCGCAACUGGAGAGCGGCGCCGCCAUGCCGUAAAACACCCAACUUCUGAAUGUUGACCUCGAAUCAGGUAGGAAUACCCGCUGAACUUAAGCAUAUCAAUAAGCGGAGGA
rnacentral:misc_RNA from 1 species